GUGAACGCUGGCGGUAGGCCUAACACAUGCAAGUCGAACGGCAGCACAGUAAUAGCUUGCUCUUACGGGUGGCGAGUGGCGGACGGGUGAGGAAUACAUCGGAAUCUACUUUUUCGUGGGGGAUAACGUAGGGAAACUUACGCUAAUACCGCAUACGACCUACGGGUGAAAGCAGAGGAUCUUCGGACCUUGCGCGAUUGAAUGAGCCGAUGUCGGAUUAGCUAGUUGGCGGGGUAAAGGCCCACCAAGGCGACGAGCCGUAGCUGGUCUGAGAGGAGGAUCAGCCAAACUGGAACUGAGACACGGUCCAGACUCCUACGGGAGGCAGCAGUGGGGAAUAUUGGACAAUGGGCGCAAGCCUGAUCCAGCCAUACCGCGUGGGUGAAGAAGGCCUUCGGGUUGUAAAGCCCUUUUGUUGGGAAAGAAAAGCAGCAGGUUAAUACCCCGCUGUUCUGACGGUACCCAAAGAAUAAGCACCGGCUAACUUCGUG
rnacentral:rRNA from 1 species